CCUACGGGUGGCAGCAGUGGGGAAUAUUGGACAAUGGGGGCAACCCUGAUCCAGCCAUGCCGCGUGUGUGAAGAAGGCCCUCGGGUUGUAAAGCACUUUCAGUGAGGAAGAACGCCUGGUGGUUAAUACCCAUCAGGAAAGACAUCACUCACAGAAGAAGCACCGGCUAACUCCGUGCCAGCAGCCGCGGUAAUACGGAGGGUGCGAGCGUUAAUCGGAAUUACUGGGCGUAAAGCGCGCGUAGGUGGCUUGAUAAGCCGGUUGUGAAAGCCCCGGGCUCAACCUGGGAACGGCAUCUGGAACUGUCAAGCUAGAGUGCAGGAGAGGAAGGUAGAAUUCCCGGUGUAGCGGUGAAAUGCGUAGAGAUCGGGAGGAAUACCAGUGGCGAAGGCGGCCUUCUGGACUGACACUGACACUGAGGUGCGAAAGCGUGGGUAGCAAACAGGAUUAGAUACCCGUGUAGUC
rnacentral:rRNA from 1 species